rnacentral:rRNA from 1 species
UGGGGAAUAUUGGACAAUGGGCGAAAGCCUGAUCCAGCAACGCCGCGUGAGGGAUGACGGCCUUCGGGUUGUAAACCUCUUUCAGCAGGGACGAAGCGAAAGUGACGGUACCUGCAGAAGAAGCACCGGCCAACUACGUGCCAGCAGCCGCGGUAAUACGUAGGGUGCGAGCGUUGUCCGGAAUUAUUGGGCGUAAAGGGCUCGUAGGCGGUUUGUCGCGUCGGGAGUGAAAACUCGGAGCUUAACUCCGAGCCUGCUUCCGAUACGGGCAGACUAGAGGUAUGCAGGGGAGAACGGAAUUCCUGGUGUAGCGGUGAAAUGCGCAGAUAUCAGGAGGAACACCGGUGGCGAAGGCGGUUCUCUGGGCAUUACCUGACGCUGAGGAGCGAAAGUGUGGGGAGCGAACA